AUAGGAUUUUUUGGUGCCACUUCGACAGCUGGAAACUUCUGUGGCUGGUGGAGCCUCUUUUCGUUUGUUUCUGUUGCCCUGGACUGGCAUGGCUGCCUGGCACUGGCGGAUGACAAAGGGCUACAGUGUUACAGUUUUUUUCAUACCCUCAUUUGGAGGGUCCCAGGUUCUUGUCCCACAUCCAAGAAAAAUGAAGUUAUGCAGAAAACCAAAGAGUGAUCGAGGUGGAGAAGAAGUUUAUUGAGUGACAGAAGAGCUCUUGACAAUGAGAGGAGACCUGAAAGCAAAUAGCUCAACAUGUGACUGAGUCUGGGGGUUUUUAUGGGCUGAGAACAGGUCUGGGAUCCCACAAUGCAAGCAACUGUGCCAUCAUCCAAAUUCUUCAGUACACAGUUUACAGAACUCAGAGGCCAGCAGAUUCCUCUGGCACUCUUUCUUGGGUAGUUUUGGAGUAAAGUGGUUUGGAGUAAAGUGCCACCAGUGAGAUAUGCUCCCAUGAGUAGCUUUUUCUGGCACCCUGGAGAGCAGAUUUCCUGCCAGUUCUGCCAUCAGAGAACUACAGACACCUUUGUGAUAUUCAGUAGCCAUGGCCAUGUCCUCCUCUACAAAGGCUGGGUCUAAGUCCUGGAGAAGGAGCAAGUUUGCCUCGCAUGUUCCAGCCCAGUCCAGAAAGUAGUGGCUGUACUUUCUCUCUGUGCUCUUAUGUUCUUUGCAGUUCUCUUUACUACUCUCUACGCCUUACUAAGCAAUAUCCCCUUAUUCCAACCACCUGUUACAGUUAAUCAUUCUUUAUAUUAAACUUUCCUUGUUCAAAUUACUAUGUGGUUUCUUAUAUAUAAUAGAUAUAUUAUUGAAUAAUUAGAUAGAAUAUAAUAACCAGACUAAAAAUGAUGAUGUGGUUAAGUUCUGUUUACUGAUGUUAUUUUACAUCUUUAUACUAGACAAGUCAUAAAACAUGGAACCUGAGAAAGUUACAAUCACUUCAGCACCUACAUAUAUUUUUUAAAAACAAGAUUGUUGACUUAAUAAGCCCUGUCGAUGGUGGUCAGAAUGGCGACCAUCUCCAAACCAAAAUAUAUAGUUACGC
rnacentral:lncRNA from 10 species